rnacentral:rRNA from 1 species
GGAAAUGAAAGGUGGCCUCUGCUUGCAAGCUGCCGCUCAUGGGUGAACCUGCGGUCCAUUAGCCAGUUGGUGAGGUAACGGCUCACCAAAGCUACGAUGGAUAGCCGGCCUGAGAGGGCGAUCGGCCACACUGGGACUGAGACACGGUCCAGACUCCUACGGGAGGCAGCAGUGAGGAAUUUUGCGCAAUGGGGGAAACCCUGACGCAGCAACGCCGCGUGAGUGAUGAAGGCCUUCGGGUCGUAAAGCUCUGUCAAGCGGGAAGAAACUGACCCGUGCUAAUAUCACGGGACACUGACGGUACCGCUGAAGGAAGCACCGGCUAACUCCGUG